AGCCACCAGAGAAGCCCCAGAAUAAUGGAGUGGGUAGCCUAUCCCUUCCCCAGUGGAUCUUCCCAACCCAGGAAUUGUACUUGGGUCUCCUGCAUUGCAGGUGGAUUCUUUACCAACUGAGCUUCCUGCCCUUCCUGCCCUUUAUUUUUAAUUCCAAAGGUGCCUUUCCAUCCUCUUCCUUCUGGGUGGGCCCUCUUCUUGCAGGAAGUCCUGCAUCACGUACAUUCCAUAUCAGCUCCUGGCCAGCUCCUUUCCACGGCAUCCGCAGAGCACAGAUGGUGCCCUGAGUCUGUAACAGUGCGCCUGUGUCCACGGCAGUGUUCUUUGCUGUACAGGCAUCCAGACAAAUUCUUUUGUCUUUAUAAUGUUCAGACACAUUGUUUGCUACUUCCUGACAUUUCAAGUUCUUCAAAUCAUUCUCUGUUAUCUCCAUAUUUGGCUCAAAGUGAGUGGUAAACAUGAUUCAUGGUGAGGCAAGGAAAAACCCACAGUGCCUCCAAACUCUUUUUAGAGAAGACAUUCUCGAAUGCCUUCAAUCUCUCAGCAAAUUCUUAGCCUUGUCUGAUAUUCCAUCAGGAUCUGAGACAAACCAGAAGUGGAACAAUCAGGUUCAGAAUCUUUUAUCCCUUACUGCACAGAUGAUCUGAUAUGAUUGCAUUGCUCUUGGAAACUCUGAAAUGAUAUAAACAAACACACGCAAGUGGUGAUAGCAGUCAUUGGUUGUUGGUCUACAAUUUGCAAAGCGGUGUACAAAACAGACCUUUCUUUAUUUAGUCCUUAUGGGAAUCUAUCAUGAAAGGUGUUGUUGUUAAAUUGCUAAGUCCUGUCCAACUCUUCGUGACCUCAUGGACCGCAGCAUACUAGGUUUCUUUGUCCUUCACUAUCUCCUGGAGUUUGCUCAAACUCACAUCCAUUUUAUUCAGUGAUGCUAUCAACCAUCUCAUCCUCUGUCAUCCCCUUCUCUUCCUGCUCUCAAUCUUUCCCAGCAACAGGGUCUUUUCAAAUGAGUCAGUUCUUCACAUCAGGUGAAGUAUUGGAGCUUCAGCUUCCGCCUUCUCCUUCCUUCCCAUGACAGCUCCAGCCCCAAUCAUGGAAGGGCCAGUAUCCUAUUUUUCCUCCAUCCUGAAUCCUCUCAGCAUGCACCAUUGGGGCAGCUGCAGUGGCUGAUGGCUUGAUGGCUGAAGCAUCCUUUGCUUACCGAUAUGACAGGUGACAUUCUUUGUCCACACUUCAUUCUUUGUGGAAGGAUGUGAGACCAGGUGAGGUAUUCAAAGGGAAA
ensembl:lncRNA